rnacentral:miRNA from 1 species
UGAGGCAGGAGAAUUGCUUGAACCCAGGAGGUGCAGGUUGCAGUGAGCCUAGAUCGUGCCACUGCACUCCAGCCUGGGUGACAGAGUGAGACUCCGUCUCA